rnacentral:rRNA from 1 species
UACGAGGGGGCGAGCGUUGUUCGGAAUUAUUGGGCGUAAAGGGUGCGUAGGCGGCCUGACAAGUCUGAUGUGAAAUCCCUGGGACUCCGAACCCAGGGCCUGCAUCGGAAACUGUCGGGCUUGAGUAUGGGAGAGGUGAGUGGAAUUUCCGGUGUAGCGGUGAAAUGCGUAGAUAUCGGAAGGAACACCUGUGGCGAAAGCGGCUCGACUGGACCAUUCGUCGACGCUGAUGCACGAAAGCUAGGGGAGCAAACAGG